rnacentral:rRNA from 1 species
UACGUAGGGUGCAGGCGUUAAUCGGAUUUACUGGGCGUAAAGCGUGCGCAGGCGGUCUGCUAAGACAGGUGUGAAAUCCCCGGGCUUAACCUGGGAACUGCGCUUGUUACUGGCAGGCUGGAGUGUGGCAGAGGGGGGUGGAAUUCCACGUGUAGCAGUGAAAUGCGUAGAGAUGUGGAGGAACACCGAUGGCGAAGGCAGCCCCCUGGGCUAACACUGACGCUCAGGCGCGAAAGCCAGGGGAGCAAACGGG